UACAUGUGGGGCAAGCGUUGUUCGGAAUUACUGGGCAUAAAGGGUGCGUAGGCGGCUUGUUAAGUCAUUGGUGAAAGUUUUCGGCCCAACCGGAAAAUUGCCUGUGAUACUGGCGAGCUGGAGUGCGUGAGGGGUGGGGGGAACGAGCAGUGUAGCGGUGAAAUGCGUAGAUAUUGCUCGGAAGGCCGGAGCCGAAGGGGCCCCACUGGUACGUAACUGACGCUGAGGCACGAAAGCGUGGGGAGCGAACAGG
rnacentral:rRNA from 1 species